ACGCUCGACACCUACGGGGAGGCAGCAGUAGGGAAUCUUCCACAAUGGACGCAAGUCUGAUGGAGCAACGCCGCGUGAGUGAAGAAGGUUUUCGGAUCGUAAAGCUCUGUUGUUGGUGAAGAAGGAUAGAGGUAGUAACUGGCCUUUAUUUGACGGUAAUCAACCAGAAAGUCACGGCUAACUACGUGCCAACAGCCGCGGUAAUCUGAGCGGGCUGGCAAGGC
rnacentral:rRNA from 1 species